GAGUUUGAUCCUGGCUCAGGACGAACGCUGGCGGCGUGCCUAAUACAUGCAAGUCGAGCGAAGUUUUUCUGGUGCUUGCACUAGAAAAACUUAGCGGCGAACGGGUGAGUAACACGUAAAGAACCUGCCUUAUAGACUGGGACAACUAUUGGAAACGAUAGCUAAUACCGGAUAACAGCAUUAACUGCACGGUUGAUGUUUAAAAGUUGGUUUUGCUAACACUAUGAGAUGGCUUUGCGGUGCAUUAGCUAGUUGGUGGGGUAAAGGCCUACCAAGGCGACGAUGCAUAGCCGACCUGAGAGGGUGAUCGGCCACACUGGGACUGAGACACGGCCCAGACUCCUACGGGAGGCAGCAGUAGGGAAUCUUCCGCAAUGGGCGAAAGCCUGACGGAGCAACGCCGCGUGAGUGAAGAAGGAUUUCGGUUCGUAAAGCUCUGUUGUUAGGGAAGAAUGAUUGUGUAGUAACUAUACAUAGUAGAGACGGUACCUAACCAGAAAGCCACGGCUAACUACGUGCCAGCAGCCGCGGUAAUACGUAGGUGGCAAGCGUUGUCCGGAAUUAUUGGGCGUAAAGCGCGCGCAGGUGGUUUAAUAAGUCUGAUGUGAAAGCCCACGGCUCAACCGUGGAGGGUCAUUGGAAACUGUUAAACUUGAGUGCAGGAGAGAAAAGUGGAAUUCCUAGUGUAGCGGUGAAAUGCGUAGAGAUUAGGAGGAACACCAGUGGGCGAAGGCGGCUUUUUGGCCUGUAACUGACACUGAGGCGCGAAAGCGUGGGGAGCAAAACGGGAUUAGAUACCCUGGUAGUCCACGCCGUAAACGAUGAGUGCUAAGUGUUGGUCUCAUAAGAGAAUCAGUGCUGCAGCUAACGCAUUAAGCACUCCGCCUGGGGAGUACGACCGCAAGGUUGAAAACUCAAAAGGAAUUGACGGGGACCCGCACAAGCGGUGGAGCAUGUGGUUUAAUUCGAAGCAACGCGAAGAACCUUACCAAGUCUUGACAUACUGUGAGGACACAAGAGAUUGUGUUGUUCUGACCUUUGGUUAGACACAGAUACAGGUGGUGCGUGGUUGUCGUCAGCUCGUGUCGUGAGAUGUUGGGUUAAGUCCCGCAACGAGCGCAACCCUUAUAUCUAGUUGCCAGCAGUAAGAUGGGGACUCUAGAUAGACUGCCAGUGAUAAACUGGAGGAAGGUGGGGAUGACGUCAAAUCAUCAUGCCCCUUAUGACUUGGGCUACACACGUGCUACGAUGGAUAGGAAACAAAGAGAAGCGAGCUCGCGAGAGUAAGCAAACCCUCGACGAAAACUUAUUCUCGGUUCGGAUUGUAGUUCUGCAAACUCGAACUACGUGAAAGGCUGGAAAUCGCUAGUAAUCGCGAAUUCAGAAAUGUCGCGGUGAA
rnacentral:rRNA from 1 species